UACGGAGGAUUCAAGCGUUAUCCGGAUUUAUUGGGUUUAAAGGGUGCGUAGGCGGUCGGAUAAGUUAGAGGUGAAAUCCCGAGGCUCAACUUCGGAAUUGCCUCUGAUACUGUUCGGCUAGAGAGUAGUUGCGGUAGGCGGAAUGUAUGGUGUAGCGGUGAAAUGCGUAGAUAUUAGGAGGAACACCAGUGGCGAAGGCGGCCUGCUGGACGAUGACUGACGCUCAGGCACGAAAGCGUGGGUAUCGAACAGG
rnacentral:rRNA from 1 species